AGCAGUGAGCUCAGCGGGUAUCUAUGCAAUAAUAGAAUCAUGAGUGGAAUAUAAAUCAAAGAAAAAUGAUAUCUGAACACAUUAGUCAUAAGGCAUCAUCACCAAGGGUCUAUAUAUAUAUCACCAAGCAACUAGAUAGAUGCAGUAAACUCAAUCUCAUCUUAAAGCCUUUAAGCACAAAGACGACAUGUGUCUACAGAGCAAGCCAUAUCAUCACACAGAUGAAAGAGAUCACAACAUACCUUGGUCUUACAGAAACCAGCCAU